UACGAAGGGGGGCUAGCGUUGUUCGGAAUCACUGGGCGUAAAGCGCACGUAGGCGGAUCUUUAAGUCAGGGGUGAAAUCCCGAGGCUCAACCUCGGAACUGCCUUUGAUACUGGGGGAUCUCGAGUCCGGGAGAGGUGAGUGGAACUGCGAGUGUAGAGGUGAAAUUCGUAGAUAUUCGGAAGAACACCAGUGGCGAAGGCGAGUCUCUGGACCGUAACUGACGCUGAGGCGCGAAAGCGUGGGGGAGCAAACAGG
rnacentral:rRNA from 1 species